GAAGGGCCGCGGUAUUCUGACCGUGCGAAGGUAGCAUAAUCAUUAGUCUUUUAAUUGAGGGCUUGUAUGAAUGGUUGGACAAAAAAUAAGCUGUCUCAAUUAUAAAAGUUGAAUUUAACUUUUAAGUGAAAAGGCUUAAAUAAUUUAGGGGGACGAUAAGACCCUAUAAAGCUUUACAAUUAUUUGGUUAAAUUAUGAAUUGUUAGUAUAAAUUUAAUUUAAUUGAUGUUUGUUUCGUUGGGGCGACGGGAAUAUAAUUUUGUAACUGUUCUUUUAUAAUUUGUUACAAUAAUUUUUGGUAAAAGAUUGAUCCUUUAUUAAAGAUUAAAAGAUUAAGUUACUUUAGGGAUAACAGCGUAAUCUUCCUUGAAAGUCCAUAUCGACAGGAAGGGUUGCGACCUCGAUGUUGAAUUAAGAUUUCCCUAUGGCGCAGCAGUUAUA
rnacentral:rRNA from 1 species